rnacentral:rRNA from 1 species
UCUGGUUGAUCCUGCCAGUAGUCAUAUGCUUGUCUCAAAGAUUAAGCCAUGCAUGUCUAAGUAUAAAUAGUAUACAGUGAAACUGCGAAUGGCUCAUUAAAACAGUUAUAGUUUAUUUGAUAAUGGAAGGCUACAUGGAUAAUUGUGGUAAUUUUAGAGCUAAUACAUGCUGUCAAGCCCGACUUUUUGGAAGGGUUGUAUUUAUUAGAUAUGAAGCCAAUAUUUUUUUGGGUUUAUUGUGGUGAAUCAUAGUAACUGAUCGAAUCCCAGCUUUGGGAUAAAUCAUUCAAGUUUCUGCCCUAUCAGCUUUCGAUGGUAGUGUAUUGGACUACCAUGGCAGUCACGGGUAACGGAGAAUUAGGGUUCGGUUCCGGAGAGGGAGCCUGAGAAACGGCUACCACAUCUAAGGAAGGCAGCAGGCGCGUAAAUUACCCAAUCCUGACUCAGGGAGGUAGUGACGAGAAAUAACAACUCGGGGGACAUCUGUCCUUACGGGAUUGCAAUGAGAACAAUUUAAAGCUCUUAGCGAGGAACAAUUGGAGGGCAAGUCUGGUGCCAGCAGCCGCGGUAAUUCCAGCUCCAAUAGCGUAUAUUAAAGUUGUUGCAGUUAAAAAGCUCGUAGUUGAACUUAUGGCGGGGCGCAAGCGUGGCUUCGGUCAGUUUGUGCUUCGUCAUCCGUCUGCAAACGUCGAACGUCCUUCAUUGGUCGGCGGCGGGAGUAGGCAUUUUACUUUGAAAAAAUUAGAGUGUUUCAGGCAGGCAAUUGCCCGAAUACAUUAGCAUGGAAUAAUGGAAUAGGACCUUUGUCCAUUUGGUUGGCUAUUGGACUUAAGUAAUGAUUAAUAGGGACAGUUGGGGGCAUUAGUAUUUAAUUGUCAGAGGUGAAAUUCUUGGAUUUAUUAAAGACUAACUUAUGCGAAAGCAUUUGCCAAGGAUGUUUUCAUUAAUCAAGAACGAAAGUUAGGGGAUCAAAGACGAUCAGAUACCGUCCUAGUCUUAACUAUAAACUAUACCGACUCGGGAUCGGGGGGUUAAUUAAGGCCCUUCGGCACCGUAUGAGAAAUCAAAGUCUUUGGGUUCUGGGGGGAGUAUGGUUGUAAGGCUGAAACUUAAAGGAAUUGACGGAAGGGCACCACCAGGAGUGGAGCCUGCGGCUUAAUUUGACCCAACACGGGAAAACUUACCAGGUCAAAAUAUGGGUGGGAAUGACAGA